UACGUAGGUGACAAGCGUUGUCCGGAUUUACUGGGCGUAAAGAGCGCGCAGGCGGUCGUUCAAGUCGAGUGUGAAAGCCCCCGGCUCAACUGGGGAGGGUCACUCGAUACUGAUCGACUCGAAGGCAGGAGAGGGAAGUGGAAUUCCCGGUGUAGUGGUGAAAUGCGUUAGAUAUUCGGGAGGAAACACCCAGUGGGCGAAGGGCGACUUCCCUGGCCCUGUUUCUUGACGCUGAGGCGGCGAAAAGCUAGGGGGAGCAAACGGGG
rnacentral:rRNA from 1 species